rnacentral:lncRNA from 1 species
UUAAAUACAUUAAGGUGACAACACAUAUGGCUCCUGCCGUGUUGCCGUACGCGCGACACGCAGGUCACGAACGAGUUACACACAUGCAUCACAUACACAAGGGGGCCAUACUGAUCACAAGAUACAAACAUACAUCCUGCAAAAUAGAGUUAGGCGUCCUAACGUUCCAAACUUCGGAUGCCCGAAACUCCAUCUUCCAAGCCGAAUUUCGGAAAUCUAAUUUCGCCAAAAACGGCAAUUAUGCAGAAGUGAGUUUAAUUUGCCUUGCUUUGCUGACACAAUAUUUGCUAGCUUGUACUCAUUUGGUGGUUUGAGUACUAAUUUCUGAGUUUCAAGACUUGAUCAAUUGCUCCCGUCGCAAGUCAGAG